rnacentral:rRNA from 1 species
CUUCGGGGAACGAUAACGGCGUCGAGCGGCGGACGGGUGAGUAAUGCCUGGGAAAUUGCCCUGAUGUGGGGGAUAACCAUUGGAAACGAUGGCUAAUACCGCAUAAUAGCUUCGGCUCAAAGAGGGGGACCUUCGGGCCUCUCGCGUCAGGAUAUGCCCAGGUGGGAUUAGCUAGUUGGUGAGGUAAGGGCUCACCAAGGCGACGAUCCCUAGCUGGUCUGAGAGGAUGAUCAGCCACACUGGAACUGAGACACGGUCCAGACUCCUACGGGAGGCAGCAGUGGGGAAUAUUGCACAAUGGGCGCAAGCCUGAUGCAGCCAUGCCGCGUGUAUGAAGAAGGCCUUCGGGUUGUAAAGUACUUUCAGCAGUGAGGAAGGUGGUGUACUUAAUACGUGCAUCAUUUGACGUUAGCUGCAGAAGAAGCACCGGCUAACUCCGUGCCAGCAGCCGCGGUAAUACGGAGGGUGCGAGCGUUAAUCGGAAUUACUGGGCGUAAAGCGCAUGCAGGUGGUUUGUUAAGUCAGAUGUGAAAGCCCGGGGCUCAACCUCGGAAUUGCAUUUGAAACUGGCAGACUAGAGUACUGUAGAGGGGGGUAGAAUUUCAGUGUAGCGGUGAAAUGCGUAGA